UACGAAGGGGCUAGCGUUGUUCGGAGUUACUGGGCGUAAAGGGCGCGUAGGCGGCGCAUCAAGUCAGGCGUGAAAGCCCUGGGCUCAACCCGGGAAUUGCGCUUGAGACUGGUGUGCUUGAGUACGGGAGAGGAUAGUGGAAUUCCCAGUGUAGAGGUGAAAUUCGUAGAUAUUGGGAAGAACACCGGUGGCGAAGGCGGCUGAUCUGGACCGUAACUGACGCUGAGGCGCGAAAGCGUGGGGAGCAAACAGG
rnacentral:rRNA from 1 species